GAAAAUUCAACCCUAAAAGGUGAAUUUGUCCACCUUACUUCAUAUUAUCAAGUCUACUAUCUUUUUUUUGAACAACAUUAUCAAGUCUACUAUCAAACUUGAAGAUAACCUUAGCAGAGAGAUUACAUUCAAACAACCUCAAACCGCAAGAAAAAACCUAUAUUUUCAGCCCACUUGGCUUCACCAAACACUAGUCCAGUCACUCGAUCUCUUAUAGUAACUAACUCUGUUCCCAUCUUAACAUCAUAGCCGUUCCUACUCAACUGAACAGCACUUAACGCGUUUACCACAAUACCUGGAACGUAAAGCACAUCCUUGAUCGUCUUCACCUUCCCUUCCUUUGUAACAACCCUUACAUCUCCUGUUCCUUGUGCCAUGACACUACUUCCGUUGAUGAAUGUAACCCUAGCUUUCCGCGUUCUGUCUAGAGCGGUGAAAUACUUCUCGUGCGGAGUCAUAUGGUUCGUCGUGGUGGCGUAUACCAUCCACAUAUUCGCAUCAUAUGUCACAUCAGUACGACAGAAUGCAUAGGAAACAUGCUCUGGCACUUGUUCUAGCAUCUCCCAGAGUUCCUUGGCCGAAGUAGCCGAGAAAGUCUUCCUGAAAAGUGAAUCCGGGAGAGAAGACUGUAAUAUCUGAAGGGCCUUCAUGUCUUGUCUCACAAGUUCUCUCCAUCUGCAAAGCUCUUCGACUUCAAGAGUCGCUGCUAGGUCUGGAUUCUUCGAUGGAUCAGUUGGUAUUCCGGUCUCGACGACAUCCCAAAGUCCCUGUUCCGUUAGUUUGGUUUUCAUCAUCGCCGACCAGAUUUCAAAGUUUAAGUCAUCGGAAACAAGUUCGCGUAGGGUUGGUGUUGUCGCCGCAGCCAUAGUCGCUUU
rnacentral:lncRNA from 1 species